UUCGAAACGGUGAGACGAGCGUUUGUUGCGUCGGAAUCCUACUUCGUCGUUUUUAAGGGAUUCCAACCUGGACUGUGAUGUGUUAUUUUGCGUGCAAUUUGAGAAUUGACCGCGACCACAUUCUAGUGGGCCGUAAGGAAGAUAUCCUGCUAAGAAACGUUCUGAAGGGAGCAUUUUUUCAUCGCCUACUGAGACGACACGUGUGUGGCGGUAAACACGUGUAUAGGAUUGUGCGUGUGCACUGCGUUGGUGUAUUGAGGAUGACGAACAGCAUUAUUAUGGGAAGGAAUAACAAGCAAAAAUAGCGAUAAUUUAUAGCAGCUUGGACGAAAAAGAUGAUGAUGGGUUAGUUUGAUUACCUCCGGAAGAAUCAUCUGUGUACCAAUUAUGUUGGCAGCAGAGACCAUGAUCAUUACUAAGCUUUCCUUAGGUCAUCAAACACCGAAAGCCCAAGCUGAUGAAGAAAAAAACGAAGUUGACUUUAUAGCUGUCGGCCAUCAACCAUAUCAACCACUAGUGUCUUCCUUUUAACUACAAGGACUUCGCCGCCCUGGGCUCCUAAGUGUAUGAGAGUAUGGCACGGAGCGACGGCGCCGAAUACCCAUAUUUACACAAAAAAAUUAGAGCACCCGCCGCGGGAUUCGAACCAGCAACCUCUGGAUUGUUAGUCCAGUCCCAAGUAGCAAACUUUGUUCGCCAAAAGAUUUCCGAACUUGUUAUGUCGGACGAGUCGAUGGAGCUGGGUCCGGCUACUCAGGCCGAAAUCUUUGACGUCGAGCAGUUCUUGGAAGAUUGUGACGAGGAGUUCGCGUUGCACGGCAAUCAUCAACAACGAGAAGAACGCGAACAAAAUGCCGGAGAAGAACGCGAACAAAAUGUCGGAGAAGAAGGCGAAGCACUACAAGGUCAACUGCGGGUGAGCUAUCAUAUUGUCGAUUUAAAGAAAAGUGGCUACAAGCUGGCGACGAAGCUUCACUUUUUUCCCACACAUGAUGAAAACUACAGUUUCUGAAACAAAAUAAGGGAAUCUGAUCAACUUUAAAGACAAAAAUGCCAUUUUCAGAAACCAGGCAGAUGAAGUGCUGACGGAGAAGAAAACAAAAACACUUCACCAGGUCGUGAAAACAGCCAGCCCCCUGACAUUUUCUGACAAUGCUGUUAUCCACUAGAUUCUUCGAAAAAGGGGCCGUUGAUGUGGACGUGAAAAGUAGCGGUUGUUGCGAAACUGCUAGAGAAACCUCGCUACGCCAGUAUAAUAGAAGCUUUUUUUCUGCCUCCGUAAGUGUUUUUCCUUGUUAUCCACGUUCAGUUUCAAUUGGCUGCUGUCGCUGCAGCUACAGCUCCCAACCGUGGAGAAAAAAGUUGUUUUCGUACCAGCCACUUUUUCUAGCAAGUCAGUCGGUUUGAAUUGUUAUUGGUUCUCAUCCACUUGCAACGAACUUUUUUUUUUUGUUGAGGGGUUGUUUUCGACUUGUGUUUUUCUUUUCAUACCCUUUUUUGCUUUGAAUUAAAACUGAAGCUGUUGUGUUGAUUACUAUUAGAUUACUGCGAAAGCUUUAAACCAGAUAAUGUUUUAAUAUUAUAUUUAGUAUUUUUCCUAUGGUUCUACAUUUUGAGAUAUUGAUAGUAUCUCUACCAAAAAUUAGCAAUAUUUGUUGAUAAUUGUCGAGAUUCUGCUAAAAACAAAAAAAAAAUCAAUCAGAUUAAAGAUAACAAGUCUUGUUUCAAACUAUUUUGCGACAUUUCUGUUUAAACAAAUGACUUAUUACCCAGCAAAAAAAGUUGAAUUUUGGAAUGUUGAAAAUUUGAUUGGUUGAAAAUGACCUAUUUUUUGAGUAAUAUCACUCAAAAAAUGUUUAAAAAUGUUAACCUGAUGAAUAUUCAUCGAAAACUGAUGAAAAUUUAACAAUUCCUGAUGUAAUAUUUUAUUUUUUUUUGCCACAAAAUCUGUCACCGUUUCCUGGUGAAUAUUAGCUUCAUUUUUUCUGUGUAUACUACCGAACAAAAAACAUGUUAUUCAUUUAUUUAACAAAGUUAAGUUAAUCAUUUCCAUAUAAAAUCGUGGCUGGCUGCUUAACCACUACUCAAAAGGAUUGUACAGGGGACAGAUCGACCAUAAAAAAAUAACAAUAAUAAUAAUAACAAUAAUUCAAUA